rnacentral:rRNA from 1 species
AUUGAACGCUGGCGGCAGGCUUAACACAUGCAAGUCGAGCGGAGAUGAGGUGCUUGCACCUUAUCUUAGCGGCGGACGGGUGAGUAAUGCUUAGGAAUCUGCCUAUUAGUGGGGGACAACAUUCCGAAAGGAAUGCUAAUACCGCAUACGUCCUACGGGAGAAAGCAGGGGAUCUUCGGACCUUGCGCUAAUAGAUGAGCCUAAGUCGGAUUAGCUAGUUGGUGGGGUAAAGGCCUACCAAGGCGACGAUCUGUAGCGGGUCUGAGAGGAUGAUCGGGCACACUGGGACUGAGACACGGCCCAGACUCCUACGGGAGGCAGCAGUGGGGAAUAUUGGACAAUGGGGGGAACCCUGAUCCAGCCAUGCCGCGUGUGUGAAGAAGGCCUUAUGGUUGUAAAGCACUUUAAGCGAGGAGGAGGCUACUGAGACUAAUACUCUUGGAUAGUGGACGUUACUCGCAGAAUAAGCACCGGCUAACUCUGUGCCAGCCGCCGCCGUAAAAC